AUCCUGCCUUAUCUGCUGAUGAUUACCUGGAUCAGGUGUCUUUAGCCAGUUAGGAGCUUCUAUGGCAAGUUGGCUGGGAAACAUGUUGGACACCGGCCCUCGAGGCCUGGAUUCUGACACCUCUGCUUUAUAUGCUCAAAUCUGAGCUCUGACAAAAUAAAAACUUACAAACAGUUAUUGAAAAACCACAGUAUAAAUAGGUUUAUUGUAAUUGGCAAUCACAUGGAACUAAAUGGUAAACUCCUUCCUUUGGUAAGUUGCCUCCAGUGGUCUUUUGAGGGACUGCAACAUUUGGUACUUCCUGGUUGUCUCCUAAUUCAAAAUGGAAGAUGGAGGCUUGGUCUGGAUUUGUCUAAGAAACUAAGGCUGAACCAAAUGCAGGAAAAAUGAAUCUGAUAUCUGCAGAUCAGAAUUCUUUACUCUUGAAGUCUUCAGUGUUGUGGCAACAACAACAAAAGAGGGCUGUAGUGCUGACUGCACACGCUCAAAGCUCUCCAACUCCAGCUGGGGAGACAAAACAAAUGCAGGAUCACCAGGAAGUUGUUUGCUUGGUUGGGACUGAAGCUAUGGACACAACAGAAAAGCUGCGGUGGUCUUAUCGCCCGGAUAUUACAUAGCAGCCUCUUCUCAUUCAGAGCAGAGUGAGGUCGCAGCCCGGCCGCUUUCAGCCUCACCAACCAGCACGCCGGCUUUUCUCCUAAUUGUAGCAGCACACGUUGCAUCUGGCUUCUGACCGUCCAGCUGUGCACACGUCGCAGGCAGCCCAACCUCUGCCACCGCGGAGCAACAACAUCUGAGACACCGAGCUCUCUUCACAGGGGCGCCUUUCUGUUUUUGUUCCCUCAGACUGGCGACAGCAGCAUUGACCUGUUUGCCCUCUUGCCCCCAUUAUAAGUUAUGAUCGCUGAAACAUGCAGCUAAAAUAACACAUAAAAAAAGGCUUGAUGUGAUCAUGUGGCCGCCAACUGAGAGCAUCUUUCAUCGACCAGCUUUGUUUGGACCACACAGAGACCAAAAGGAGGGCUUCUUGUUGAACAUGCUGACGGAGUGGAGAUCAGAAAGUCAGAUGUCGCCGAACAGUUAGAAUAAAUAUUAAGUCUUACCCAAUGACUUCAUAGCUGUUGAUAUCUGGAUCAAUUAACCAGAAAUGUUAUUGAAACAUCGCAGUAAAAACUGUCACUGGAGCAGGUGUUACACUGUAAAACAUGUUGUUGAUGAAUUAUUGGAUGUCCCAGGUUGUGUGUUUUACUGCUUAAUGUAUUCUGUAUGUGGUUGCUGCAGCAACAAUUCAUUCUAGUGAAAGAGAAAAUCUAAAAUUCCCAAUAAAACUGUGUUUUUUUUAA